CGAGACAAGCUUUGAGGUAAUGCGAGUCUAUAGGCCACAUUUCCUAUUCGGUCAAGAAUCUCAAAUGGACCAACAAAUCGUGGAUUGAGCUUUCCUCUCUUCCCAAAUCUUGUAACUCCAUUCCAUGGAGCUAUACAUAACAGUACAUGAUCUGCAAUAUUAAAUUCCACGUCCUUUCGAUGAAGAUCCGCAUAACUCUUUUGUCGAUCCUGUGCCGUUUGUAUACGUUGUCGAAUCAUUUGGAUCUUUUCUAUAGUCAUACGUACCAACUUUGGU
rnacentral:lncRNA from 1 species